rnacentral:rRNA from 1 species
GAUGAACGCUGGCGGCGUGCCUAAUACAUGCAAGUCGAGCGAACGGACGAGAAGCUUGCUUCUCUGAUGUUAGCGGCGGACGGGUGAGUAACACGUGGAUAACCUACCUAUAAGACUGGGAUAACUUCGGGAAACCGUAGCUAAUACCGGAUAAUAUUUUGAACCGCAUGGUUCAAAAGUGAAAGACGGUCUUGCUGUCACUUAUAGAUGGAUCCGCGCUGCAUUAGCUAGUUGGUAAGGUAACGGCUUACCAAGGCAACGAUGCAUAGCCGACCUGAGAGGGUGAUCGGCCACACUGGAACUGAGACACGGUCCAGACUCCUACGGGAGGCAGCAGUAGGGAAUCUUCCGCAAUGGGCGAAAGCCUGACGGAGCAACGCCGCGUGAGUGAUGAAGGUCUUCGGUUCGUAAAACUCUGUUAUUAGGGAAGAACAUAUGUGUAAGUAACUGUGCACAUCUUGACGGUACCUAAUCAGAAAGCCACAGCUAACUACGUG